GCCCUGCGGGAGGAGCUGCAGCGAGGGCUCCAGGAGAGGACCCGGCGGCUGCGGGCCCUCGGGGCCAGGAACACCCAGAACUUCCAGCAGCUACUGUGGCCCCCCAGCGCUGAGGAGCCUUCGGCUGGAGAGGAGCGCUCACCCUUCUCGGCCCCCUCCAGUCCUUGCUGAAUCCUCAAAGGCACGAUUACAGAGAUGAGGAUUAAGGAAAAGCAAGCCGGCAACCCGCAGGCCAGCAAGCGCAGAACAGAGGUAGUUCCAAGAAAGGCCCAGAACUUUGCCUCGGGCCCUGGGAGGUCAGACACACAGACACACGCAGCAGCUUCAACCCCACCAGGAGGCAUGUUAUUUCUUCUUCCUUCCUCUGAGUCCACUGCCUGGCCAUCGUCAGAGAGCCAGGUCCUGAGGGUCAAGCAGCAAGAAGGCCCCAUUCUUCCGGAAGAACGAUUCAAUGCGGCACAUCUUACAGGAGACCAGUUCUUGCUUCACCGGGGGGCCUGCGAAAAGAUGUCAGAAGCCAGGAAUGGGUCCUGGGAAAGGGAACUUGCGGAGCAUGGGAGCCCAGCCUACAGAGCCCUGGGAAUCUGCCUGUAUUGUACCCACUUUGGAAGCGUGAAGGAAUAAAAGGUGCUUCUGAGGAACACCGGCUGGGGGUCCAGACCAGCAGUGAGGGCAGAACUGGUCAGUCUGCCAUGUACCACUGUUUCCCCCACCUUGGGCUCCUCCAUAGACCAGGUGGUGGGACACCCAGCACUGCUUGUCACAGGGACAGACAGAGCUAGACGUCUCUGGGAGAGAGAGGGCUUCCUUCUACCUCCUGUUCUCCUGGGACUUGCUUCCUGCUUUUGUGGGAAAAUUCCUCUUUUCCCUUUCCUUUAGGACCCUGGGGAAAGUGGGGGAAAUUUUUAAGCAAAACGUCAACUGUGUUUAUCCCCAACCAUCACCUUUUCCGCCCAGGCACUCAAGCGUGGGGAGAAAAACCCAUGACUGAGCAGCCUUGGUUGCAAUUCAUGGCCACAAAGAGCAAGGGACAGCAUCACCCAGCGGCCCCGCAGUACUCCCAGGCACGCUCCCUUCCCUAGGCCGUUAAACUCUGCAUCUCCAACUACAACGGCCUCCCCCUCUCCUCCCAGAGGAUGACCUCGACUCUCAGCCUCGCAGAAAAAGCAGACUCGGUCCAGAUGGAGAGCCUUCCCACCAACACCAUCUCCCUACCCCUCUCUGUGCCCCCUGCCUCUCCUGUCAGAUUCCAGCAUCUGGAGCUCCCUGGAUAUUCCUCUUUCCAGAAGUUCUGCCGCAGCGUAUCCAUGUUGAGUUGCCGCGACAUGGUAGCAAGGGAAGGAGCGGUACAGCUGAGGGGUAAGCAACAGCAGGCAGAGGCCUUCUGACAGCAGGGGGCUGCCACGGACAGUCACCUGGCAACCAAGCCUCACCUCACACAGGGCCAGGGUUCUACUUGCCAUGCCUUUAGCAGACCUCACAUGCCUUGAUCCAGGGGCAACCUCAGGCCAGGGCCCACCAGCUGAGAACCUUGAUCUCCAAACCUCUUGCAGGACCCAGGCUUGGUCCGUUAUCACAGGCUUCUAGGUUUCCUGUGUUUCUGCUUCCACCCGUUGGGGUCAGGUCCCUUCCCAGCCCAAGAGAGACUGAAGUGGGGGAGCCAAGGGCUUGGGCGCAAGCUUCCUCGCGCGCCUCCCCACCAGGGCUGGUCACUGUUGAUUCAAAGGACCCAUCCCUGAGUUACGACCUGCUGGCACCAUCUUCCUGGUCCAGCUUUUCUAUGCCUGUAUCUUUGACAGAACCUUUCCCAGCCCCACCAAUCUAAUCCCAACGGCCUCAUCCCAUGCGAGUCCUUUGUAGCACCCAGCCUCAGUUUGGACAGAAACGAGAACGUUACUUUAAUUUAACAUCAACAAUGACACUGUGUAACAGUACAGGGAAGAGGUAGUGGAGAGAAGACACUCGGGCUUCCUGUUCCCUAACCAGCCUUGACUUUAAUGGCAGAGCCCCAGCAACCUGGAAGCACCUCAGCUAGCCUCUCAGUGGAGUGAGAAGGGGCAGGGGGCUGGAACUGGAAAUCGGAGGCUCACAACUUAGAGAAGGGCUGACGGCAAGCCCGGGGAGAGGCUGCAAGGCUGUGGGGAGGGCCCUAGCGCAGGUCCUCGGCCGUGAACAUGCCCCUGGCCCUGCGCAGGAUGGAGUCCUUGGCAGCAUCAUAGGGGUGCUCCUUGGACGGGAUCUCCAGAACGGCUGGAAUGGAGCGCUGGUGGGCGUCGAGCGCAUGCCGCACCAUCUCUGCGAUGUACUGGUUGAUGAGGAUAAUGCCGAUGUCAUCCCGGUUUAGAAACUGCCUGUUGGGAGAGAUGAGAAGGGAUUCCAGGACAGCCCACUCAGAGGUGGUGAGGCUGGGCUGCAGAGGGGAAUGGGCUUGACCCAGGAACUGCAGAGUUCAAGGGCAAAGGCUGCUUGCUAAACUCUCUCCAUUCUAACCAGGAUCAACUUGUUUCAAAAAUCUAAGGACCCUGGCUGUCAGGGUUGGCUUCUACCUUCCCUGCUUGGAAGGCCCCCAAGUGAACUGGUGCUGAAGAUCAAGGCACAUGCUGGGAUAUUCUGUAUGCUGCGUUUGUGUAAAAAAGAGAGAGGAUAAGAAUAUGCACGUCUGUCCUUGUGUAUGUACCUGAAGAAAAAGCAGAAAGGGCAAGAAAUGAGGACUUCAAAUGCAAGGUCUCAGCAGAAAGUAGGAUACGGUCCUGAGAUUCUGCCGGCUGUGCUCAGGACAGUGGGAAAUUCUAAGAGGAUGGUUGUGAGCCUCUAAGGAACAUGAAAAUGCAAGAAAGCCCGACCCCACUGCCUAGGUGUUCCGUCAUAUGACAGAUGAGCUCGUGGACCUGACAUAGCCCGGGUUCUCCCAAGCCCCAGAAGAGAACUUGGAGCACAGAGGCCUCCUCCGGAAGGGCGGCCGGACCGACCUCCUUGACCCUCGACGUCGGCGGUCUGGAAGCCCAGCGCAGGCCCCGCCCGCAGGGUCCCCGCGCCGCCCCCUACUCCCCGCGCUCCCACCCAAGGCAGAGGGUCUCAUUCAGGCCUCGCGGGCUACCGUACCGGAAAGUGUCUUCGAUCUCAUUGAUGGUUGUAUCCUUCUCCACCACCAGGAAAUUAGGCUGGCGGUUCUUGUUAAGCUCCCCUAUGCCGCCCAGCAGGAAGCCAGUCACCGUGUCCUCGUCUCCGAUCACCGCAAUUAGCUUCCCCCUCCCCGCCAUUCUCGCGAGCAGGUCCGCGACAGCCCGAAGUCACGGGAGCCCCACCUCCGCAGUGCGCUGCCUUUUCGACCGCGCCUCCACCCACCCCUUAGACAUGCGCAGUUCAGCACUCCGCCUCCCGGGACAUGCGCAUUAAUAGUAAAACGGUCUCAAUUUGAAUACGCCUGCGCCAUAAAGAGAGGCCCGAACCUGGGGACUACGAUUCCCAGAAGUGCGCGCGGCACGACGGGGUCACGCAAGCGCGUUCCAUCGCUCGUUCAAUAAACCUGUUGAGCCUUUUGCUGACAGAUACCUAGACCUCAGAAGAGAAGAUACGGCUUCUGUCCUCCAGGGCGAGUUCCGGGUCUGUAUCGUGCAUGAGUCUGAGGACCAGUCUUGAAGGCCCUGUCGCUGGUUCUUUCAAGUAUUCCACCACAACCCCAGACCUCCCCAGCCAGAUGGUGGCCACCCAUAGAAAGCACGAGCACAACAGCCAAGCCUCUGCGAAAGGCCACACUUUAUUUGGAGUUUUCCACCAUGCCUGCUUUGCUGCAGUCCACAGUGAAGGAGUUCUUCUGGCCCACAAAGGCCUGGGACAGCCCCGGACCCCGUGUCACCACCUUGCUGGCAUCUGAGGAGAACUUAGGGAUGGAGCUGUAGCUGGAGCCACGGCUGGAGGAUGACUUGGUCACGGUCUCCACCAGAACCGUGGAAGUUUCGUGAAGGCUGUGGCCUCCAGACAGCCGGGGACCUGAGGGACAGAGUGGGGUAAGCAUGAGCUGGGGGAGAGGCCUGCCUUCCGUAGGCCGCAGGUGCUCGGCCCCGCAGCGACAGCCCUGUGGGCCACGUCCCUUCCCCCGCUGCGGCACCCGGCAUUCCCAGUGAGCCUGGCUGCAUGCACGUGCUCCAGCUCGUCCUGAGGUCCUGGCCUCCGAUGGCUCCAGCCCUCGCCUGGCUUGGUCUGGGAACCCAAGUCACAGGGAGGCCAGAAACAUAGACGGCAGGAGGGCAGAAAGUUAAGCUAAAGCUUGGGAGCCACUGCAGGGAAAAGAUUAAUAAGCGAUGGACAAGAGGAAGAAUUUGUCAAGAAUGAUUCUCCGUGGCUGCACAGAAUGGUGUGUUGUGUGCGGCCUGCCCACCUUGUUCCUGCUCUAGGCACUCACCAGUAGUGCCCCCCUCAAGCCCAGGACCAUAAGCUGACACCAAGCCUGGGUCCCCAGCCUGGCUCUGCUCCCCAACGCGGAUCUUGAAGGGACUGCCAGGGAUGUGGGCACCGUUGAACUUGACAUCAAUAGAGUGGACGCCGUUCUCAUGGGGGAUGAAGCGGAUGGUGUGCUUGUCUGUGGGGCAGAAGGUUGGUCUUAGGAUGGCAGAGGGGCCUACCCCUGGGCACAUACCUGGAGGCUGGUGACGGUGAGGCGGCGAGCAUCAUCGGAGAGAGAAGCCACAGGAACCACAAAGGGGCUGUCUGAACACCUCCGGCCAGCUGCCCGUGCUCUCCCCGUCCUGUCCCAGAGGACGGGAGGCCCAGCUUCCCUGGGAGGCCCCUGGCCCCGCACGGCCGUGCUUACCCUCCUGCCGGGUGAUGCUGCCGAAGGAGCCCAGCCGCUCCCGGCCCAGGAAGUCCCCGAAGACGGCGGGAAAGGGGUCUCCACCGACCUGGGUGGACUCCUCCACCCGCACCUCGCGCUUGGUCUCCCCGCCCCGCGUCUUGCUGAUCUCCGUGCGUUCCGUGCGGGUGUACGUGUGGCUGCUGCGGGUGAAGGUCCGCGUCAGGCGCUCCUGGGCGGACACCAUCUGGAACCAGUUCCCUGGGGGAUGUGCAGCAGCACAGCCACUGUCCGGGGCCUUGGAGCUUACCAGCACGUGGAAGGGGCUGUUGGGGAUGUGCUCGCCUCCAAAGCGAAUGGUGAUGACGUACUUGCCCGGCUCGGGCGCCGUGUAGUAGAUGUCAAAGGUACCGUC